GAUGAACGCUGGCGGCGUGCCUAAUACAUGCAAGUCGAGCGAACAGAUGAGGAGCUUGCUCCUCUGACGUUAGCGGCGGACGGGUGAGUAACACGUGGAUAACCUACCUAUAAGACUGGGAUAACUUCGGGAAACCGGAGCUAAUACCGGAUAAUAUAUUGAACCGCAUGGUUCAAUAGUGAAAGACGGUUUUGCUGUCACUUAUAGAUGGAUCCGCGCCGCAUUAGCUAGUUGGUAAGGUAACGGCUUACCAAGGCAACGAUGCGUAGCCGACCUGAGAGGGUGAUCGGCCACACGGGAACUGAGAAACGGUCCAGACACCGACGGGAGGCAGCAGUAGGGAAUCUUCCGCAAUGGGCGAAAGCUUGACGGAGCAACGCCGCGUGAGUGAUGAAGGUCUUCGGAUCGUAAAACUCUGUUAUUAGGGAAGAACAAAUGUGUAAGUAACGAUGCACGUCUGGACGGUACCUAAGCAGAAAGCCACGGCUAACUACGG
rnacentral:rRNA from 1 species